GACCAUAUCAUGUUGAAAUGGCGGUUCUCUUAUGAUCACUGAAGUUAAGCAACAUUGAGUCUAGUCAGUACCUAGAUGAGUAACCACUUGGAAAUACCAAGUGUUGUAGG